CUACGGGUGGCUGCAGUGGGGAAUAUUGGACAAUGGGCGAAAGCCUGAUCCAGCCAUGCCGCGUGUGUGAAGAAGGCCUUCGGGUUGUAAAGCACUUUCAGUGGGGAAGAAAGCCUUGGGGCUAAUACCCUCGAGGAAGGACAUCACCCACAGAAGAAGCACCGGCUAACUCCGUGCCAGCAGCCGCGGUAAUACGGAGGGUGCGAGCGUUAAUCGGAAUUACUGGGCGUAAAGCGCGCGUAGGCGGUCUGAUAAGCCGGUUGUGAAAGCCCCGGGCUCAACCUGGGAACGGCAUCCGGAACUGUCAGGCUAGAGUGCAGGAGAGGAAGGUAGAAUUCCCGGUGUAGCGGUGAAAUGCGUAGAGAUCGGGAGGAAUACCAGUGGCGAAGGCGGCCUUCUGGACUGACACUGACGCUGAGGUGCGAAAGCGUGGGUAGCAAACAGGAUUAGAUACCCCAGUAGUC
rnacentral:rRNA from 1 species